AACGAACGCUGGCGGCAGGCUUAACACAUGCAAGUCGAACGCAUCCUUCGGGGUGAGUGGCAGACGGGUGAGUAACGCGUGGGAACGUGCCCUCCAGUUCGGGAUAACCCAGGGAAACUUGGGCUAAUACCGGAUACGUGCGAGAGCAGAAAGAUUUAUCGCUGAAGGAUCGGCCCGCGUCUGAUUAGCUAGUUGGUGGGGUAAUGGCCCACCAAGGCGACGAUCAGUAGCUGGUCUGAGAGGAUGAUCAGCCACAUUGGGACUGAGACACGGCCCAAACUCCUACGGGAGGCAGCAGUGGGGAAUAUUGGACAAUGGGCGCAAGCCUGAUCCAGCCAUGCCGCGUGAGUGAUGAAGGCCUUAGGGUUGUAAAGCUCUUUCGUCCGGGACGAUAAUGACGGUACCGGAAGUAGAAGCCCCGGCUAACUUCGUGCCAGCCGCCGCAGUAA
rnacentral:rRNA from 1 species